AUUGAACGCUGGCGGCAGGCCUAACACAUGCAAGUCGAGCGGAUGAAGGGAGCUUGCUCUUGUCUUAAGUGGCGGACGGGCGGGUAAUUCCUAGGAAUCUGCCUGGUAUAGGGGGAUAACGUCCGUAAACGGACCCUAAUACCGUAUCCGUCCAUAGGUUGAAACUGGGGGUUCUUUGGUCCUAACGCUUUUUGAUGACCCUUGGUCGGAUUAGCUAGUUGGUGGGGUAAAGGCCUACCAAGGCGACGAUCCGUAACUGGUCUGAGAGGAUGAUCAGUCACACUGGAACUGAGACACGGUCCAGACUCCUACGGGAGGCAGCAGUGGGGAAUAUUGGACAAUGGGCGAAAGCCUGAUCCAGCCAUGCCGCGUGUGUGAAGAAGGUCUUCGGAUUGUAAAGCACUUUAAGUUGGGAGGAAGGGCAGUAAGUUAAUACCUUGCUGUUUUGACGUUACCAACAGAAUAAGCACCGGCUAACUUCGUG
rnacentral:rRNA from 1 species